AGGGAAGUGGCACAACUGGUAGCGCAACGGUCUCCAAAACCGUAGGUUGUGGGUUCGAGUCCCGCCUUCCCUA
rnacentral:tRNA from 1 species